GUGAGGAAUAUUGGUCAAUGGGCGGGAGCCUGAACCAGCCAAGUCGCGUGAAGGAAGAAGGAUCUAUGGUUCGUAAACUUCUUUUGCAGGGGAAUAAAGUGCAGGACGUGUCCUGUUUUGUAUGUACCCUGAGAAUAAGGAUCGGCUAACUCCGUGCCAGCAGCCGCGGUAAUACGGAGGAUCCGAGCGUUAUCCGGAUUUAUUGGGUUUAAAGGGUGCGUAGGUGGUUUGAUAAGUCAGCGGUGAAAGUUUGCAGCUUAACUGUAAAAAUGCCGUUGAAACUGUCGGACUUGAGUGUAAAUGAGGUAGGCGUAAUGCGUGGUGUAGCGGUGAAAUGCAUAGAUAUCACGCAGAACUCCGAUUGCGAAGGCAGCUUACUAAGCUACAACUGACACUGAAGCACGAAAGCGUGGGGAUCAAACAGGAUUAGAAACCCCGGUAGUCC
rnacentral:rRNA from 1 species